CCUAUCUGUCAGAUGCCAGCCUUGAAAUGAAGCCUUCAGCUGUCUCACCACACAGAAGCCCCCAGGAGCAAUCCAGUCCCUACAAGAGACCUGUCCCAACAUCUAUCCCAGGUCACCAAGGUCAAGGGGUGCUCCUGGGCAAGCAGUGCCUGAGACCCAGGGAGGACAGCUCAGAGCCCCCAGCAUUUUUCUGGGGAGAUCUGAGUGGCUGGGAUCCUAACUAGAGGAGAUUGCAGAUGAAGGAAGGCCUGGAGGCACCAAGCCAACCCCAGCCAGAGAUGCUGGUCUUCAGCAGAAGUGGGGGUGGAGUGCUGGAUGGAGAGGUCACAGGAGAUCAACACAGAUGGAUGGCUGGCACAGCCCUCACAGUGGGGCCAGACACUGAAGGGGGGAGUCUGGGGUGGCUGUUGAAGACACAGACCUUCCUCCCACUAUAAAAACCAUGCCAAAUGGGC